UACGUAGGGGGCGAGCGUUGUCCGGAGUUACUGGGCGUAAAGGGCUCGUAGGCGGCCAACUAAGUCAUACGUGAAAUCCCUCGGCUUAACCGGGGAACUGCGUCUGAUACUGGAUGGCUUGAGAUUGGGAGAGGGAUGCGGAAUUCCAGGUGUAGCGGUGAAAUGCGUAGAUAUCUGGAGGAACACCGGUGGCGAAGGCGGCAUCCUGGACCAACACUGACGCUGAGGAGCGAAAGCCAGGGGAGCAAACGGG
rnacentral:rRNA from 1 species